rnacentral:rRNA from 1 species
GAUGAACGCUGGCGGCGUGCCUAAUACAUGCAAGUCGAGCGAACGGACGAGAAGCUUGCUUCUCUGAUGUUAGCGGCGGACGGGUGAGUAACACGUGGAUAACCUACCCAUAAGACUGGGAUAACUUCGGGAAACCGGAGCUAAUACCGGAUGAUAUUUUGAACCGCAUGGUUCAAAAGUGAAAGACGGUCUUGCUGUCACUUAUAGAUGGAUCCGCGCUGCAUUAGCUAGUUGGUAAGGUAACGGCUUACCAAGGCAACGAUGCAUAGCCGACCUGAGAGGGUGAUCGGCCACACUGGAACUGAGACACGGUCCAGACUCCUACGGGAGGCAGCAGUAGGGAUUCUUCCGCAAUGGGCGAAAGCCUGACGGAGCAACGCCGCGUGAGUGAUGAAGGUCUUCGGAUCGUAAAACUCUGUUAUUAGGGAAGAACAUAUGUGUAAGUAACUGUGCACAUCUUGACGGUACCUAAUCAGAAAGCCACGGCUAACUACGUG